GGUGAGGAUUAGAGCAACAGAGACGAGCCGAUUCAGUUCGGGUGAAACGGGCAAUCUCUACGCGCAGCAAUACCAAGUAGGCACACGUUGACGGGGCCCCCGGAGUGUGCGGGUAGGUAGCAUCGAGCUGUUGGGUGACCAGCAGCCCAGAGUAAUGGCAGUCACUUCUGCAGGCUCGCAAGGGUCUGCAGUUGCACAGAAUCCGGCUUAUCGGUGGGCUUCACAC
rnacentral:RNase_P_RNA from 1 species